rnacentral:rRNA from 1 species
UACGGAGGGAGCUAGCGUUGUUCGGAAUUACUGGGCGUAAAGCGCACGUAGGCGGCUUUGUAAGUUAGAGGUGAAAGCCCGGGGCUCAACUCCGGAACUGCCUUUAAGACUGCAUCGCUAGAAUCCGGGAGAGGUGAGUGGAAUUCCGAGUGUAGAGGUGAAAUUCGUAGAUAUUCGCAAGAACACCAGUGGCGAAGGCGGCUCACUGGCCCGAUACUGACGCUGAGGCACGAAAGCGUGGGGAGCAAACAGG